rnacentral:rRNA from 1 species
CACGUAGGGACCAAGCGUUGUCCGGAUUCAUUGGGCGUAAAGAGCUCGUAGGCGGUUCGGUAAGUCGGGUGUGAAACCUCCAGGCUCAACCUGGAGACGCCACCCGAUACUGCCGUGACUAGAGUCCAGUAGGGGAGCGUGGAAUUCCUGGUGUAGCGGUGAAAUGCGCAGAUAUCGGGAGGAACACCAGUGGCGAAGGCGACUUCUUGGCCUGUUCUUGACGCUGAGGCGCGAAAGCUGGGGGAGCAAACGGG